rfam:Drechslerella stenobrocha 248 unplaced genomic scaffold DRE_Scf_55, whole genome shotgun sequence.
UCACGAAUGACCCUUCGUGUCCCUACCCAGACAUGCGUUAGAAGUAAUUCUUUCGUGUGAAGCUCUGGGGACAAUGCUAUUAGUUAGGGA